rnacentral:lncRNA from 1 species
GCCUCAGUAGGCGCUGGGAAGAACGCGGGAAGGGGCCGCGCGGGUGGCCGCGUUGUGCGGCGGCUGCGGCGUCGGGCCCCGGCGCGCGAAGGGGAAGGCAGAGCCGGGGUCGAAGCGAGGUCCCCGCGAGACGUCCUCCGGGGCCUCGGCGCUGGCCAGGGGACCGCUUGGCGCUGCCGGGCCUCCGCCACCCGAGCCGCGAGGCCCUCGGACCUAACCGGAGCCUGCCCAGAGCCCGAGCGCCGGCCGCCCCGCCGCGGAUGCAGCCCCGUGAGGAUGCUGGGACGUGGCUCCGAGCUUGGUGUUGGCCUGCCCGAGUGGUCCGCACUGGGAAAACAACACCAGGUGGCCCCACUCCGACCCGCCGGCUUGGUGAUUCUUUGAGGAAAUCCAUCCCCCAGCCAUCCACCAGCCGCUUUCUUGGAUUUGGCCCAGGGACUUCGACCUGUCUGGCAACUGAACAUGGCAACUUCUACUCCAACGGGCCUGGCCCGAAUUGCCUUAUGAGUGAAGCCGAAGUCAUCCUUGACCCUGCUCUUUCAUCGUCUCCCAUCUUGGUUCUAAGUCACCUGCCAGCUGGUCAGCUGUCUUAAGAUUACUUCCUCCAGAUCACUUCUUCCUUUUCAUUCCACGGCAAGCACCAUCUGGGGUUAAUGGAGACAUCUCCCUAACUGGCCUUACUGCCCACUGGUCUGCUCCCACUCUUGUCCUCCUUGAAAAUAGACUAAGUGAAUUUUCCUAAUGUGUUUCUUUGUUGAUUAGUCUUUAACAGCUCUCCUCCUGACCAAAGUUUUAAGUUCAGGCUUUCUUCAGUAUGGACCCAGCUUACCUACUUCUUUCCUUUAUAUAUGCAGGCAGGCCUUGUGCUUUCCUGACUCAACAGGGACCAUUUUCCCUGCUCCUGUCUCAUCCUAGUAAAAUCCUAGUUAUUCUUCACAGCCUGGCUCAGGCAUGACUGGGUCUAACAAAGGAUAGGGGCUUUUGAAUUACUGAGGCAAAGUGCUCUCCUGAAUGUAGAGAUCAUAAUCCCCAUAUGAAGUCAUUGUAUAAAGCAAGGAACGUUUGUUAAUAAUCUUGGCACAGUUAUCUUUCCCUCCCAUCCCAUUAACACUCAUUGAACCAGAGUACCUUCCACGUCACCCC